rnacentral:misc_RNA from 1 species
UCGAGUUUUUUUCGGUCAACGCCGAAAACUCCCCACCCUUGUGUAUUUUAGCUGAAAAGCAGCUUCGGCGGGCCGUCAGACCUUAGCGAUAGGGUCUUGACAUCGGCUCUGUGCGGAUUUGCGCCCGCCGAAGAACCAACUCUUUACAACUUGAAGUCUGAUAAACAAUCAAUAAAUCA